UACUUCGCGAGGUUUGUUUGCUAUAAUGGAAAAACUUAUGUAUGGAUUUUAUUCAAUUUCUGUUUUGAUUCUUAGAUUUGGGUUUUAGGGAUUCUAUGUUUGAUUUUUGAUUCUGGGUUUGAUUGAAUUUGAUCUUGUGUGAAAUCCCUAAGUUUACAUCUGAUUAUGGUCCCAUCAAUGACUUCUCUCAAGAAGCACCAUGAUAAGUCAGCAUUUUCUGGUAAAGCUGUCCUUUAUCUUAAUCGGCAUCAAACUGAGGAGUGGAAAUGAUGGAUUUUAUUCCAUAUCUAUUUACUGUGUAGAAGGCCUCGUUUAUUGACAUGCCUAGGAAUGGGUAAAUGUUGCACUCAUCAUGUAUCUGUAGCAUCCUCGGAAAAGGUGGACCUUAAAUCUUCUUUGUCCAGAGAAGUUUAAUUUUUGUACUUUAAAACAUGUCUUAUUUUUGAUGUACCACUACUUCACGGCAACGGAGAUCUAUAAUGCGAUUCGUGUUUUCAUUGCCGCAUAUGUAUGGAGGACCGGAUUUGGGGCUUUCUUCUAUUACUACAUUCAAAAGGAUUUUAGUCUUGGAAGAUUUGCCCAGAUGAUGUGGCGGCUUAAUUUCUUUGUGUCAUUUUGCUGCAUUGUUCUUAAUUUCCUCGUGUUUACUUGCAUAUCUUCUGCGACUCUGUUGUUCCCGCGGAAACCACUCGCAGGGGUUUAUAUGUCUAUGACAAUAAGCGCAAGGCAAGGCCUGAUCCUGAAAUUGCAAAAUACAUUGAGAAAGCAAAGAGCAUGUCCGAUGCAAAAGUUGAUCCUAAGUUAAUGAAGGUAUCAUACAAGGACAUUAUCGAGAUGAUAUUUUCCCCAGUCGUGGAUGAGGCAUGCCGUGUCUAAUGCAAAAAUUGAUCCCAAGUUAAUGAAGUUAUCAGACAAGGACAUCAUCGAGAUGAUAUUUUUCCCAAUCGUGAAUGAGUCAUGUCGUCUCCUACAUGAAGGAAUUGUAGUUAAGGCAUCAGACCUUGACAUUGCCGCCGUUUCGGGGAUGGGAUUCCCACCAUACAGGGGAGGAAUCAUGUUCUGGGCUGACUCACUCGGAUCCAAAUACAUUUGUUCGAGAUUAGAGGAAUGGACCAAGAUGUAUGGAUAUUUCUUUAAGCCAUCUGCCUACUUGGAUGAACGAGCUGCCAAAGGAGCUAAACUAAGUGCAUCAAUGAUGGAUCAAGCUAUGUCUCGGCUAUAAGAAGGUUAAGCGAUUAUCUUCUUGGUAUUGCUGUAUUAUCCCUGUUGUUGUAGAAAGUUCAGAAAAAGAAAAAGAACCCAGUAAAAGUUGCACUGAAGAUGAAAGUUAGUUUUAGUAAGAACUAUUAAGGAUACAAGGAUGCAGACCCAGUAAAAUAAAAUCUCCCGUUAUUGCAUUUCAGAUCAGGUCUCGAUCGUUAUAUCUGGAUAAUUGAAUGAUAUAUGCAUAUUAUCACCCAAAGGUUGAGAAAAUGGAUGGAAAAACUCGAGGAAUCUGAUAGAAAACUUAACAGUGUCUUGUUGGUGGCUUGAAGUUUGCAGAGGAUCAGUUGUCCGAGCAUUGGGGUUUAUGGUCGCUGCAUCACCGUGUGCGUUAGUAGUAGCUCGUCUGGCUUGUGAAGUUGCAGUCCAUGCUUCUGCAAGUAGGGUAUUGAUCUUAUCUAUGGUUUUUAUUUAGGUUUGAAACAUAGUUUUAUUACUAUUUAUUUGUAGUUUGUCUAUAAGAAUGUAUAGUUUUCAGUUUUUUACAGUGUUGUGUAAUUUUUUUCACAUCUGGAACUUGAGUGAUUGUAGUUUUUUGAACUUGAAAAUGAAGUCAAUUAAUAAUUUCAUUCAAUUCCAACUUUUUAAUAAUUCUCUU